GACGAACGCUGGCGGCGUGCUUAACACAUGCAAGUCGAACGGAAAGGCCCUGCUUUUGUGGGGUGCUCGAGUGGCGAACGGGUGAGUAACACGUGAGUAACCUGCCCUUGACUUUGGGAUAACUUCAGGAAACUGGGGCUAAUACCGGAUAGGAGCUCCUGCUGCAUGGUGGGGGUUGGAAAGUUUCGGCGGUUGGGGUUGGACUCGCGGCUUAUCAGCUUGUUGGUGGGGUAGUGGCUUACCAAGGCUUUGACGGGUAGCCGGCCUGAGAGGGUGACCGGCCACAUGGGGACUGAGGUACGGCCCAGACUCCUGCGGGAGGCAGCAGUGGGGAAUAUUGCACAAUGGGCGGAAGCCUGAUGCAGCAACGCCGCGUGCGGGAUGACGGCCUUCGGGUUGUAAACCGCUUUCGCCUGUGACGAAGCGUGAGUGACGGUAAUGUGUAAAGAAGCACCGGCUAACUACGUG
rnacentral:rRNA from 1 species